rnacentral:tRNA from 1 species
GCCUGGGUGGCUCAGUUGGUUAAGCAUCUGCCUUCGGCUCAGGUCAUGAUCCCAGGGUCGUGGGAUCAAGCCCCACAUCGGGCU